CUUAAAUAAAGUUGAAAUAUUUAGGUGACAUGUUGGAUCUAUUAAGGUCUAAAAUUCACUCUAGAACUUUCUGCAAUCACUUAUUCCUCUCGGUCAUCAAAACAACUCAAAUAGUAUUGAUAAUUUACUUACAUAUUGGGGUGGAGAGGAAGCAUGUUGGGGGCAGUGCUCCGUUUGUAAAUGCCACUACCAGAGUUAACUGAGCCAACUCAAAGCUUUGGCAAAGGAAAUUGGGUCUUCCCUCCAGAUUGUUCUGGGGUGAUACUUACCCGCACAUCACUGACCUCAUGUGAAGUCAUAUGACCACUAGUUCUGUAGGGUAGACCUCAUGGAGCAACCCACCUGCUUGACGAGACAAUGAGUAGAAAACUUGUCCAAAGGGGAUUGGCUCCAAUGUAGACUCAGCAAAAUGGCAGAAGAGUCAUGCGUAGGGAGACUUGCAGGGGUGAAUACAUCAAAGGGAGAAAGCAGACAGUAAAGAAGCAAAAGGAGUGACGAAGCCUCCUGACUUAGCACCCGAAGAUCCAGAUUGGAACUUUGAUCCUACUCCUAACUACUUCAGCAAGUCAUGCCAGCUCUGACCUCUGUUUCCAUUUCUGUAUCCCAUAGCUAGACUAGAUGAGCUCUAAGAUCCAGCUUCCAAUCCUUUAUGAGCUGGAUAAACACCUGAGCCCAGAAAUCAUGUAGGAGCAAGAAAGGGUACCAUUUCAGAACUUGGUGUAAUUCAAAAAGUUCUAUACUAAUGAGUACCCUACUACAAAGACUGUGCCUACACGAAGGAUGGAGGGGAAUCAGUUUUUUCCCAGGUCAGAGUCAUUCAAAGGCUCUCUGUCCAAGGAUAGCAGAACACUAAAGAGAUGGAAAUCCAGAGUCAAGAUGGUUUCUUGUGAACAACAGAAUCUGAGUUAUAUCCUCUUAUCCAAUCUGACACUUUUAUUUUAUUGGAUUGUUUAACCCAUUCAUAUUAAAGUCAUGAGUGUUACAUCUUUAUUUUCCUGUAAUAUUUUUAUUUCAAAAUUAGCAUUCCUCUCUUCUUUUGUAAAGUCAAUAUUUAGUCUCUUCAGUUCUUUCAGUUUAGUCUUGUAUAAGACCAUCAUAUUUCCCUAGGCACUCUUCCCCUCAUCUUCAAGCUCAUUUCCUAUUUUCAUUCUUUUUUUUUAGUUUUAGAGUUUUGCUUUACUUAUUUCUUCUUUUAUUUAUUUAUUUUAUUUCUUGUCCUUUCCCCCCUCUCAUUUAAGUGGUGAAGCAAAAUCCCCCUUUUCUUUCCUAAUAGUUUUUAAAAAUUCAUUUUGAUAUCUUUUUCUUAAAAGCAUUUUUCCCUCUUUCUCUUCAUUGUUUCACUUUUCUUUCCAUCUCUUCUAGAUUUUUAUUCUUUGAUUUAUGGCCUUUAAACUCAUUUAUUUCUUCUAUUUUCUGUAUUUUUCAUAGAAUCAAAACUUCUAACGUAUCCAUUUUGAGUUCCCUCUAAUAAUCAGUUUCCAUUUGAGAUCUUGCUCCUUUGCCACCUUUUUUUAAAAAUUUUGUUGUGCCUCACUGUUAGAACAAAUUCUAUAUGUGAUUUAGUAGAAGAAAUAUUUCCCAAUGGUAUGAAUUUCCUCAUGUUCCUGACUGUGCAGCUCUUUGCUACUUUUUGCCUUCCUCAUAAUAAUUUUUCCUCCAUUUGUUAUGAAAAAUUUCGCUAGAUUCAUUUCCCCCUAAGAGUUCUGAUUCCCCUUCUGCUCAAGCAGGAUUAGUGAUUCCUCUAAACACCAAAUCCUUAUGGAUUAUAUCCAAUUUUAGGUUCCCAUGCCAUUACAGAGUAUUUCUUUUCUCCUAUAGGAGCAUUCUUCAGUGAGAUCCUUUCCCAUCAAUGAAAUAAGAUUUCUCCCUUUCUUAUUCCCUGUUUAAAUCCCUACCAUUGCUUUCUCAUCCAUCCUUCUUUAGUCUAUAGAAGUUAUUUUCCUUUUUCUGUUAACCAUUGACUUUUGUAGGGAUAUAGCAUAUAUAACCUUUACUCUUCUUGGCAGUUUACUCACUUGGCAGUUUAAUCCCAAUAAAAAAAACAUACAAAAUUUUUUUUGUCCA
ensembl:lncRNA